UUACGGUCAAAUCACGCUGAAAACACCGGUUCUCGUUCGAUCACCGAAGUUAAGCAUCGUAGAGCCAGGUCAUACUUAGAUGGGGGACCGCUUGGGAACACCUGGUACUGUAAG